rnacentral:sRNA from 1 species
GUUGGCAAGAGGCUUAAUUGACACCUUUGAUGUAGCCUAAGACAGAACCUGCACCUCCCACUGCUGCUUGGGAGACGUCAGCUUUACGCAGAAAAGGCAUCUGCUGAUGAAUCCUGCAUCUCAUUCAGCCUGCUCUGGGAGCAGCCUUAGCCAUCCUUAAACUCAUCCAACUGAUUCCCGUUUCUGCGGGUGCUUGGCUUAGUGCUGAGACGGGAUUCCGCCGUUGGUAUUCAGGUCCAACACUAAGACUGUGUCCAUGUUAGAACUCAUAGAAGUUAAUGGAACCCCUGGUAGUCAGCUCUCUACUCCGCGCUCAGGCAAGUCGCCAAGCCCAUCACCCACCAGCCCAGGAAGCCUGCGGAAGCAGAGGGACCUGUACCGCCCCCUCUCUUCGGAUGACUUGGAUUCAGUAGGAGACUCAGUGUAAAAGAAACAAUGGAGCAAUGUAUAUGGUUUGUGAUUGGGUGAAGGUUUCACAUUUCCGAAGCAAAAGUCUAACAGCAAAAUACACAAAAGAGUUUUGCAUACCUUGAAAUGAUAAAAGACCAAAUCAUCCAAAAGUAAAUAUGUAUGCAUUUUGUUUUCAUGAUGUUCAACCUUGAAAUUGAGAGAUUUAAAAAAAUAUCUCCCACAUGGAUUUGAUUGGGGAGAGUCUGAACACAAAAUGCUGAGAUUUUUGUACAGGGCCUGGCUCUAGAUGAAUUUCAUACACGGACCCAAUAUUGAGUACAAGAACACACUAACCAUGUGGCAAUAUAGAGCCAGAAUUUCUGUAGAUGGAGUUUUCUUCUUAAUUAUAAGUAGACAUAGAGAUAUAAUUUUUCUGUACUUUCUGUAAAGCAUAUUAAAACGGCACUAGCAGGCAUAUUUUUUCUAAAGGUUAUAUUGUUUUUAAAAUUUGAAUUGCUUGGUUUUUAGAGGUACUUUUAUUACAAAAUAAUAAAAACGCUUGGGUAGAUUUUUUUUCUCCCUAGACAGUAGAAAAAGCUACUUACUGUUUUGUGGGUUAGUACAUCCGAGAGAAAAAGAAAAAUUAUGACAACGACACAUCUCAUAAAGACUCUAAAGUUAGGCUUUAGGAACUUGCCUUGUUUUUGUUGUCAAGUAAAUUUUAUUUUUUAAAGUUAUUUUAUUAGAAACAAUAUAAAUUUAGCUUAAGCUAUAUGCCAAUAUGAAGAACUUGGCCAAUGGCAUUGCUAUAGAUUGUAUAAUUUUUUCUUACAAUCAUAUACAUAAUUUUUUAAAUGUGUAAAAACUAAAGCUGGGAAUUUUUUUUUUUUCCAUACAGACCUAAAAAAAAUUGUAUCUGGACUUUUUCCAAGAAAUCCAUUUGAAAAGCAAAAUUCACUUAAAUGGUGCUGUAUAAAUCAGGCCCAGAGUAUCCAAAUCUCCACUCUGAAAAAUUCUCAAUCUUGCUGGUGUUUUGGAAAUUUUCAUAUGCAAAACUCCUUUUGUGUUAAACCAAUUAAGUCUAUGAUUAUAACCCAUUGUUAAACAUUAACCUACUAAUUCUGCUCUUCUAGUCCUCUAUUUUAAAAAUUAUAGUCGGCUUUGCUUAAACAUAAAAUAAUGAUUUUAAAGUCUGAAUGUUAAAAAUUAAUUUAAUGUGUAUGGUCUAUUGUAUUUAAGCCAUAUCCUAGUGGUCAUUUACUGUUACUAGUUGAAACACUAACAGUUUAAGACUUGUGAAGCAUGGUUUUGAUAUUCUCCAGGCUUGACAUAUCUCAGUAGGUGAUAAAUUAAAAAUGUUUGAUGCCAUUUGGAGGCUUUUACAUGAUUUUUUUUUCAAAUUUUACUUGAAAACAAUUUUUAAAUGUUUUAUUCAAGAUGGAGAGAAAUUCAGUUGUCACACGCGGUUUUAAAUGUUAUUGAUUUAUCUCCCUGAUAAAUUGUUCAACUAGCAAAUUUUACCAUCUGGUUUAUAGUUACAUAUGUUACCAUCUCACUUUACAAGUGAAUAAAAUAUUCCAACCAAAAGAAGAAGAAGAAGAAGAAAAAACGUCCAGGCAAUCUAACAGCAUUUGAAAACUUAGCCCUGUAAUAAUUAGUGCCUCAUUAUGCUGUCUGUUGGAGAGAAAGACACUUCUCUGGCAGGUUAUUCAAGAGCUGCAAACUGAACCAUUCCAUCUUGAAAGAACAGUUCAUAAUAAUACCUGUUCCAGACUUCAGGUUUUAAAACUGUUUCCAAUAGAAAUGACCAGAGACUCCUGCUGAGAUCAAAAGGCUGCUUUAUUUUAGCUGAAACAGUAAACAUCUGUGAGGUUGCCUAUGCUGGUGUCUGUUUUAGUUAUGUCUUUGUAAAAUGCAUUACUUAAUACAGUUGGGUCCAUAAAAGAUUAGUAUGUAUUUGACUAAACUGCCAAAAAUACAAAGAAAGCAGUGGAACAGUUACUUUAAAACUGGUGGGGUCAGAUGGUCCAGAACAAAAAUAAAUUCCAAUAAUUUUAACUUCCCUGCACUGUCAAUCUUAUGGACAACUACUGCUAGAAAGGUCCAAUAAGUGCUAUUUGUUCUAAGUGGUAGAUAUUGCCAAUUGAUAUAGAGCCCGUGGCUUUGUUUAGACAGGGCAAAAAGAAACUGGACUUGUACUAAUUGCCGAUAGAUAUCAUGGCCAACUUUCCAUUCAAGCAGUUCCAAGGGAAGUGCUUUCCACAGCAUUUAAUCUCUUGAACAUAUGACUUCUAUUAAAGGACUGUUCAGGGGCUAUAUAUAUCAUUUACUUUUUGAAAGUAAAGUCCCUCAGAGAUUGAAACAGCACACCAUUUAUAGUCUUUGAGAUCUCUUUUUAUGCAAAACAUAAUUCUAUUAAACUAAAGCAGAAAUAAAAAUUUCUUAGCAACAAACCCAGAAGUUUUCAGUUCAUUGGUGGAACAGAAUUGGUGAUUUAUAGGCACUUAUGAUUGAGUUACUUAUAGAAUUCUUUAUAAAAAAAAUUCGGCAAUGAAUUUUUAAAUUGUUCUACUGAGCAGGGAAUGCUUCAGCAAAAGCCAUGCAGUUUUGUCCUAAUGAUAAUCCUUAAAUGCGCUCUGAAGACAUCGUGCUGUAGUUCAAAGUUCGAUACUUUUUCACUUGCACUCACUUUUUUCUUAGAUGUAGACAUUGUAGAAGAAGAUAUUAGGAAUAUUUCCCUGCUUUCAGCAUUUUAGAAGUGCAAAAGUUAAAAAUGUAUAAAGUAUGAAGUUCAGUGUGAACUCAAAAGACUAUAGUUCUGAAAGCCACAUGGUGUGUUUUUGUCUUGUUUAAUCAACUAGGCAGGGGGAAAAAUCUAGACAGUUUCUGUACUGCCAUAGAAUUUUAAGAAGUGUCAGGUUCUCUCAUCUGUAUACAUCCCUGUGCACAUAUAUUGGCUCAUCUAAAUAUUAAGAACCCAAAAAACAUUUUCUAAAACCAUUUGAACCAGCGCUAAUGUACUAUAUAUAUAUAUACCCUACAUAACCAGCCAGGGAAAUUCCAACACAUGCCCUGAAGAUCUAUACAUGAUUGGGCUCUUUUUCUUUCUUUCUUUCUUUCUUUCUUUUUUUUGCUUAAAAACAAUGAAGUGUGCAAGUCAGAUUUCUUAAUGAAAGUGAAUGAAUAUAUAGAAUAAUAUUCCUGAAAAUUCCACAUAUUUUAAUUCUUGGACUGCUAAAUUUUUCAUAUGUGGCCAUAUAUCUAUACAGGUGUUUGGGUGUUUAUGUAAAUUUGCCAGGCUUGGUGUGUAUGUGGGUAUGCUUCUGUAAGUAUCUGUGUAUGUGUAUAAACCAUCAACAGUAAAGUAUAGUAUUUGUGAUACAGCCUUAUAAGUUACUGGCUCUUGUGGAAUUAUACAUAAAAUCUUCAUGUAAUAAAGUGUUACUCUGUGACAUAUUAGUUGGGGCAUGUUUAAAUUAAAAAGCAGUUUGCUCAACUGGUAUGGCAAAUGGUUCAAAAUAUUCAGAUAUACUGAUUUAUAAAAAAAUUGAAAUUCAGCUAAAUCCAAUAUUGUGUUAACUAUUAAAUAUAAGUAACAUUAAUGUUUAUAUUGAUAUAUCUUUGUUUUCAAUUAUUAACAAGAUCGAAUACUAUGAUUUUUUUCUAUUGUGUGUGUAUGGAUGGCUUGUAGUGGUUGCCAAUCACUAUACUCUAAAAAAAUGAAACAUUGAUACAGUUGCAGAUUGUCAAGUGUAAUGUUGGAACAUAAAUAGAAGAAAAUCCAGAGUAUAUUUGAUAUGAAGUAAGUUUAAUAACAAAGCCAGAUAACCUGUAAGGCGAUUCUGUAUGUUCUUUCAAAACUCUAAACUGUUGACAAAUUUUGAAUAUACUUGCUGUAUGUGUGUAUAUAUCUACAUAAAUAUAUACACACUUGAAAAUGUUAAUUGAAUGAAUUUACUAUAUAUGCAUACAUUUGCUCAUUUAUGCAUAUUUGCAUUAACCUUGCUACCAUCUCUAUUUGUGCAUGUUAGUGACAACUGUCUUUGAUUGAAAUAUUGCACAGAGGCAUAGUGUGAAAAAUAGAGAUACACUGAAUUCAAUAUACCAAUUGCCUGAUAUAGUGUGUUGUACUGUCAGUUGAAAAAUAUUUGUAAUUUUGUGCCUGUUAUGCAUGUGGAAAAAAGAGGAAAUCAGAGGCCCUCACUAUAAUUUUUAAGGGUGCAUGACAUAUGAUGUCUUUAAAAUGUGGUUCAUUUUAGUAGAUUAUGGAUAAAUUCCAAGAUAGUAUAAAUGAUGCAUGUAAUACCUGAGUGUUUGUAUUAUAUAUGGCCACAAAAUGUUUUUGAAGCCAGGGUAGUAGAUAUCUAAAAGUUAUAGGCAAAGAAGUAUGAAAGUUAACUUUCUGUGAUGUGUUUUUGGGGAGUUGAUACUCAUCAGUAAGCAAGGAAUUGAGUUUAUUUUUUCUAAGAACUCUUUACUUUGAAAUAUAUUAUGAAUGUUGUAAAUUUGGAUAACAUUUUUAUAAAGAGGUUACAUACUUUCUGCUCACAGUUUCAGUUGAUUGGAUGUGUAUUCUCUUUAAAAAAAACAUUUUGUGUUAAAACAUUUGACACAGCAAUAUAUUUUUUAAAUCCAUCAACUAAGUCCAUCAGCAGAGCUUUAUAGAGCUAAGGGUUGACAAAAUGUUUCAUUGAACUACCCAAUUUUGAAAGUUCAGUUACUUUGUGCUGUGGUUUCAUUGUAAAAUGUUGUACCUUGUGUUUCACACUGGACCAUGUUAUUCCUCUUGAAGUUAACUUUGUGACACUUACCACCUUAGAAUAACUAUAUAAUAAACAGGAAAAACUGCU